ACUCAUCCUUCAGAUGGUAAAGAAUCUGCCUGCAAUGCAGGAGGCCCAGGUUCAAUCCCUGGGUUGGGAA
rnacentral:tRNA from 1 species